AAUAGUUUUGGGGGGCCCUCUACAGGAAAAGCUUCUUUAAAAACACCUUCCAGAAGAUCGUCCAAUCCUCCAAAAACUCCUGAGUCUGAAAAAGUUAAGCGAGUUCGAAGGUACAGGCCGGGCGCUCUCGCCUUAAAAGAAAUUAGACUUUAUCAAAGGAGCACAGAAUUAUUAAUACGGAAACUCCCUUUUGCUCGUUUGGCAAGAGAAGUUACUGACUUUUUUGGGACUAAUUUACGAUGGACUGCAGAUGCUCUUCACGCCCUACAAGAAGCUACUGAAGCUUACUUGGUUGCUCUCUUCGAAGACGCAAAUUUAUGUGCCAUUCACGGAAGACGAGUUACUAUUAUGGCUAAGGAUAUUCAACUUGCUCGGAGGAUAAGGCAGC